UAUCGAGGGGUAGGUACUGGACAAGAAGACAUGGUUUAAGGAAGGUUGACAGGACGUGGGUCGCGUGUAAAGUAAAUAAUAAAGAUGACGGUGUAGAUAUAGGCAGAAGUGCGAAAGACCUGCAGGAUUAAAGAAAAUGAUGUCAUUUGUUGAAGUUUAAAGCAUUUGAGUCAACAACACAUGAGACACAUUGUAAUAUUUUUAAUGGUAUAUACGAGCCAUGAACGAAUUUUAAAUAGUUCACUACAAUU